UCCUACGGGAGGCAGCAGUGGGGAAUCUUAGACAAUGGGCGCAAGCCUGAUCUAGCGAUGCCGCGUGAGUGACGAAGGCCUUAGGGUCGUAAAGCUCUUUCACCAGGGAUGAUAAUGACAGUACCUGGAAAAGAAACCCCGGCUAACUCCGUGCCAGCAGCCGCGGUAAUACGGAGGGGGUUAGCGUUGUUCGGAAUUACUGGGCGUAAAGCGUACGUAGGCGGAUCAGAAAGUAUGGGGUGAAAUCCCGGGGCUCAACCCCGGAACUGCCUCAUAAACUCCUGGUCUUGAGUUCGAGAGAGGUAAGUGGAAUUCCGAGUGUAGAGGUGAAAUUCGUAGAUAUUCGGAGGAACACCAGUGGCGAAGGCGGCUUACUGGCUCGAUACUGACGCUGAGGUACGAAAGUGUGGGGAGCAAACAGGAUUAGAUACCCUGGUAGUCCACACCGUAAACGAUGAAUGCCAGUCGUCAGAGGGCUUGCCCUUUGGUGACACACCUAACGGAUUAAGCAUUCCGCCUGGGGAGUACGGUCGCAAGAUUAAAACUCAAAGGAAUUGACGGA
rnacentral:rRNA from 1 species